GAUGAACGCUGGCGGCGUGCCUAAUACAUGCAAGUCGAGCGAACAGACGAGGAGCUUGCUCCUCUGACGUUAGCGGCGGACGGGUGAGUAACACGUGGAUAACCUACCUAUAAGACUGGGAUAACUUCGGGAAACCGGAGCUAAUACCGGAUAAUAUAUUGAACCGCAUGGUUCAAUAGUGAAAGACGGUUUUGCUGUCACUUAUAGAUGGAUCCGCGCCGCAUUAGCUAGUUGGUAAGGUAACGGCUUACCAAGGCAACGAUGCGUAGCCGACCUGAGAGCGUGAGCGCCCACACUGGAACUGAGACACGGUCCACACUCCUACGGGAGGCAGCCGUAGGGAAUCUUCCGCAAUGGGCGCAAGCUUGACGGAGCAACGCCGCGUGAGUGAUGAAGGUCUUCGGAUCGAAAAACUCUGUUCUUAGGGAAGAACAAAUGUGUAAGUAACUAUGCACGUCUUGACGGUACCUAAUCAGAAAGCUACGGCUAACUACGUG
rnacentral:rRNA from 1 species